rnacentral:misc_RNA from 1 species
AAAAGCCAAAGAGGACAUGGAUGGUACUUCCUUGAUAACCCCAUCUUCGAUUCUUGGCUUUAAUUCAUUGUCUUUCUAUUUAUUCUUGGCUUAUUUAGAGAUGACCCAAUUGUUAUUGCUGUCUAUUUUGAUUGUAUUUUGUUACGUUGCAUGUUCAUGUUCUUUUGAAAAUGAAAAAUUAAUUCGGAGAAGAGGAGGGUAAAAUAGAUAAUGGAUGGUUGUUAUUAGCUUAUUCAAUACCAAGUUUCGGUAUCUGUUUGUAUUUAUGCUUAACUUGCAUUGUUGCUCAAGUUUUGAACAACGAAUAUAUUAUAUAUAAUUUUCCAUACAGAUCUAAUAUAAAGAUCCCACUCAACAAAAUACUCGGUCAUAACUUUUGGUACCUGAUUUUUUGGGUAUUGUGCAUGGAUAGUGUUUCCUCCUUUGAUAGCUUCGUUGUAUAUUUUAUGAUUUUGGCAUCAUAUAUUUUGGUUUGGAUUGCAACUAUACUGGCUCAGUAUGAAGGUUUUGAUAUAUCUUGAUUUUCUUUUCUUUGUUUAAGCAUAUAAUAAAAUGAUAUAUAUAGUUUAUCCCAUCAUCCUUUUUCUCAAAGAAUUUUAUAGUGUGAAGAUGAACAUUUGCUUGCAUACAGCUCCGGUAAUCGUGUGAAAGAGAUACUUUGGGAUCGUGUGGGAGUGUCAUCAAAUAGGAACUCAUGUAGAACUUUUUGCACUGGCAG